AUUAGGAAUCUUGUACAAUGGGGGCAACCCUGAUACAGCGACGCCGCGUGAGGGAGGAAGGCCUUCGGGUUGUAAACCUCUUUUAACCGGGAAGAAACAAAUGACGGUACCGGUGGAAUAAGCCCCGGCUAACUCCGUGCCAGCAGCCGCGGUAAUACGGAGGGGGCGAGCGUUGUCCGAAGUUACUGGGCGUAAAGCGCGCGUAGGCGGGUUGGCAAGUCCGCUGUGAAAGCCCGGUGCUUAACGCCGGAGGGUCGGUGGAUACUGCCAGUCUUGAAGGUGCUAGGGGAAGAUGGAAUUACCAGUGUAGCGGUGAAAUGCGUAGAUAUUGGUAGGAACACCAGUGGCGAAGGCGGUCUUCUGGAGCACUCUUGACGCUGAGGCGCGAAAGCUGGGGGAGCGAACGGG
rnacentral:rRNA from 1 species